rnacentral:rRNA from 1 species
AUUGAACGCUGGCGGCAGGCCUAACACAUGCAAGUCGAGCGGAUGAAGGGAGCUUGCUCCUGGAUUCAGCGGCGGACGGGUGAGUAAUGCCUAGGAAUCUGCCUGGUAGUGGGGGAUAACGUCCGGAAACGGGCGCUAAUACCGCAUACGUCCUGAGGGAGAAAGUGGGGGAUCUUCGGACCUCACGCUAUCAGAUGAGCCUAGGUCGGAUUAGCUAGUUGGUGGGGUAAAGGCCUACCAAGGCGACGAUCCGUAACUGGUCUGAGAGGAUGAUCAGUCACACUGGAACUGAGACACGGUCCAGACUCCUACGGGAGGCAGCAGUGGGGAAUAUUGGACAAUGGGCGAAAGCCUAGUCCAGCCAUGCCGCGUGUGUGAAGAAGGUCUUCGGAUUGUAAAGCACUUUAAGUUGGGAGGAAGGGCAGUAAGUUAAUACCUUGCUGUUUUGACGUUACCAACAGAAUAAGCACCGGCUAACUUCGUG